UUGGAGACGAUAUAGUGAUUGUGGCGGCUUACCGGACUCCAAUUUGCAAAGCUAAGCGAGGAGGGUUUAAGGAUACUCCAGCUGAUGAUUUACUUGCAGUUGUUUUAAAGGCCAUGAUAGAGAAAACAAAUCUGGACCCAGGUGAAGUUAGGGAUAUAGUUGUUGGUACUAUUUUGCCACCUGGUUCACAAAGAGCAACAGAGUGUCGAAUGAUAGC